CUUACCUGCUGGAAGUUCGGAGCCGAGUGACUACACGAAGGAGACGAGUUACGUCGGUAAGGCUAACCACGUACCUUCCAUCUGGGAGCCACUGCAAGCUCCAACAUCGACGUGUUUGGCUUUGAAACGCAGAGCAACGUCAGGUUUUUUGAGAGGACGGGGAAAAUCCGAGGACCAGGACGAGAUUCCGGUUGUGACAGAUGGCGAGCUAAGAACUUUGAGGAAGGAUCACAGUGAAGGAGAUACACACGUACACUCACACAUACACAGAUACACACACUACACUUCCAUGAACCUUUAAGAAACAGGUACACCUGCAACAAUUUCUUAUUUUAUAAGGGCCCCAUCGGACACUCUUAUUUCAUUUGUGUGCACACUUUUUUGUUUCUGUUCAUUUGGGUUGUAUUUUAUAUUUUUGUACAAAUUGAACAAUUUUCUUCAUUCACUGCAAAAAAAUACAAG